GCCCGGAUGGCGAAAUCGGUAGACGCAAGGGACUUAAAAUCCCUCUUAAAAUCCCUCGGGGGUAACCCCGUGCCGGUUCGACCCCGGCUCCGGGCACCA
rnacentral:tRNA from 1 species